rnacentral:ncRNA from 1 species
CAACGGGAAUGAAGUUCUCCCGUGGGUAAAGUGUAUUCCCGCACUUCACCCUAAACCGCUUACAAAGGCUGAUGACUUCUGU